AUACCUGGGCCAAGUCGAACGAACUCUGGUAUUGAUUGGUGCUUGCAUCAUGGAUUUACAUUUGAGUGAGUGGCGAACUGGUGAGUAACACGUGGGAAACCUGCCCAGAAGCGGGGGAUAACACCUGGAAACAGAUGCUAAUACCGCAUAACAACUUGGACCGCAUGGUCCGAGUUUGAAAGAUGGCUUCGGCUAUCACUUUUGGAUGGUCCCGCGGCGUAUUAGCUAGAUGGUGGGGUAACGGCUCACCAUGGCAAUGAUACGUAGCCGACCUGAGAGGGUAAUCGGCCACAUUGGGACUGAGACACGGCCCAAACUCCUACGGGAGGCAGCAGUAGGGAAUCUUCCACAAUGGACGAAAGUCUGAUGGAGCAACGCCGCGUGAGUGAAGAAGGGUUUCGGCUCGUAAAACUCUGUUGUUAAAGAAGAACAUAUCUGAGAGUAACUGUUCAGGUAUUGACGGUAUUUAACCAGAAAGCCACGGCUAACUACGUGCCAGCAGCCGCGGUAAUACGUAGGUGGCAAGCGUUGUCCGGAUUUAUUGGGCGUAAAGCGAGCGCAGGCGGUUUUUUAAGUCUGAUGUGAAAGCCUUCGGCUCAACCGAAGAAGUGCAUCGGAAACUGGGAAACUUGAGUGCAGAAGAGGACAGUGGAACUCCAUGUGUAGCGGUGAAAUGCGUAGAUAUAUGGAAGAACACCAGUGGCGAAGGCGGCUGUCUGGUCUGUAACUGACGCUGAGGCUCGAAAGUAUGGGUAGCAAACAGGAUUAGAUACCCUGGUAGUCCAUACCGUAAACGAUGAAUGCUAAGUGUUGGAGGGUUUCCGCCCUUCAGUGCUGCAGCUAACGCAUUAAGCAUUCCGCCUGGGGAGUACGGCCGCAAGGCUGAAACUCAAAGGAAUUGACGGGGGCCCGCACAAGCGGUGGAGCAUGUGGUUUAAUUCGAAGCUACGCGAAGAACCUUACCAGGUCUUGACAUACUAUGCAAAUCUAAGAGAUUAGACGUUCCCUUCGGGGACAUGGAUACAGGUGGUGCAUGGUUGUCGUCAGCUCGUGUCGUGAGAUGUUGGGUUAAGUCCCGCAACGAGCGCAACCCUUAUUAUCAGUUGCCAGCAUUAAGUUGGGCACUCUGGUGAGACUGCCGGUGACAAACCGGAGGAAGGUGGGGAUGACGUCAAAUCAUCAUGCCCCUUAUGACCUGGGCUACACACGUGCUACAAUGGAUGGUACAACGAGUUGCGAACUCGCGAGAGUAAGCUAAUCUCUUAAAGCCAUUCUCAGUUCGGAUUGUAGGCUGCAACUCGCCUACAUGAAGUCGGAAUCGCUAGUAAUCGCGGAUCAGCAUGCCGCGGUGAAUACGUUCCCGGGCCUUGUACACCCCGCCCGUCACACCAUGAGAGUUUGUAACACCCAAAGUCGGUGGGGUAACCUUUUAGGAACCAGCCGCCUAAGGUGACCA
rnacentral:rRNA from 1 species